GCACCCUGGGCUCUGAAUUCUCAGACUCAAAGUUCUUGCUCAAAUUCCCCCCACCCCCACAUUCCAACCCAACCCUAAUCUCCUCCCACUUUGGUUUCUCUGUCCACCAGGUUUCCAGAUCUCCCAGCACACUACUGUGGCCCUGAGAGAGCAGCUGUGAACUCAAGAAAAACUCCUUCACCUUUCUCUGAGGCUGAUGGCGAAGUGUACCAGGAGGGAGGGUACAAGAAGACUGGGCAAUUAUGGAGUGGCUGAGGAAAGAAGGGACCGGAGGAGGAGAGAGAAGACUUGGGUGCAAUGCUGAGCUGAAUGGAGAAGAACCUGAGAUGGAAAGACAGAGCGAAGAGGACAUCUGGGAGGGAAAGGAGAUGCUCCAAAGCAGGUUGAACCCACAUCCAUCUCGGUUCAGGAUCCUCAGACUUCACAGUGCGGAUACCCAGGUAUGUACACACUGUGCAUACUCACUCACACACUCAGCCCUUUUGUCUCUCCUGACAAAGUUCACUUAGUUCAGUCCUUCCUGGAUUCUACCAGAUGGGAAGAGGAAAAUCCAAGUAAGUCUCUUCAUCUGUGAAAUGCACGAUUAGUACCGACCCUGCCUACUUCUCAAAGUUUUUCGAAGGUCACAUGAGGAUGAGUGUGAUUAAAUUUUGCAGGUAUUUUAAAAUUGCAGUCCAAAUUAAC
rnacentral:lncRNA from 10 species